rnacentral:lncRNA from 1 species
AUGGGGCCUUCACAAGUGACCUCUCUUGUGGUCACUAUACUAGUGGCACUAGUCUCUCUCACAUUGCCUUCAGAAACUUCAGCUAACUACCCUUACUCAUCUCCACCACCACCGGCUUCUCCUCCCUACCACUACAAGUCACCACCACCUCCUUCUCCUUCUCCUCCAGUGUACUCACCACCUAAGCAUCCCUACCACCCCAAGUCACCACCACCAUCACCAAAGCCUUACCACUACAAGUCCCCACCACCACCUCCUCCUCCAGUGCACUCACCACCCCCACCAAAGGAGCCUUACCACUACAAGUCUCCACCACCACCACCCAAGAAACCUCACCAUCACAAGUCUCCUCCACCACCACCCAGGAAGCCCUACCACCCGGUGCACUCACCCCCACCACCAAAGAAGCCUUACCAUUACAAGUCUCCUCCACCACCACCCAAGAAGCCCUACCACCCGGUGCACUCACCCCCACCACCAAAGAAGCCUUACCAUUACAAGUCUCCUCCACCACCACCCAAGAAGCCCUACCACCCGGUGCACUCCCCACCACCACCAAAGAAGCCUUACCAUUACAAGUCUCCUCCACCACCACCCAAGAAGCCCUACCACCCGGUGCACUCACCCCCACCACCAAAGAAGCCUUACCAUUACCAAUCCCCACCACCACCACCACCACACAAGAAGCCUCACCACCCAGUUCACUCACCACCUCCACCUAAGAAGCCUUACCACUACACGUCUCCCCCACCACCCCCUCCAGUCCACAAGUCUCCUCCACCACCAGUUCACUCACCACCACCACCACCUAUUAAACCUUACAAGCCACCAACACCUCCAACAGUUCACCCACCACCCGCUUACAUCUAUUCAUCACCCCCAC